rnacentral:rRNA from 1 species
AUUGAACGCUGGCGGCAGGCUUAACACAUGCAAGUCGAGCGGAGAUGAGGUGCUUGCACCUUAUCUUAGCGGCGGACGGGUGAGUAAUGCUUAGGAAUCUGCCUAUUAGUGGGGGACAACAUUCCGAAAGGAAUGCUAAUACCGCAUACGUCCUACGGGAGAAAGCAGGGGAUCUUCGGACCUUGCGCUAAUAGAUGAGCCUAAGUCGGAUUAGCUAGUUGGUGGGGUAAAGGCCUACCAAGGCGACGAUCUGUAGCGGGUCUGAGAGGAUGAGCCGCCACACUGGGACUGAGACACGGCCCAGACUCCUACGGGAGGCAGGAGUGAGGAAUAUUGGACAAUGGGGGGAACCCUGAUCCAGCCAUGCCGCGUGUGUGAAGAAGGCCUUAUGGUUGUAAAGCACUUUAAGCGAGGAGGAGGCUACUGAGACUAAUACUCUUGGAUAGUGGACGUUACUCGCAGAAUAAGCACCGGCUAACUCUGUGCCAGCCGCCGCAGUAA